GGACCAGAGUGGACGAACCUCUGGUGUACCGGUUGUGACGCCAGUCGCAUCGCCGGGUAGCUAUGUUCGGAAGGGAUAACCGCUGAAAGCAUCUAAGCGGGAAGCCUACCUCAAGAUAAGAUUUCCCUAGGACUUUAUGUCCUCUAAAGAGCCGUUCGAGACUAGGACGUUGAUAGGUUGGAUGUGGAAGCAUAGUGAUAUGUGAAGCUGACCAAUACUAAUUGCUCGUGAGGCUUGACUAUACAACACCCAAGCAGUUG
rnacentral:rRNA from 1 species